ensembl:lncRNA
UGGACUGUCAUUGCGGUAAUUAGUCUGUAGUGAAUUCCAAUUAAAGCCCAGCUUCAUAAUUUAGCACAUGAUCUUACCCCGGAACAAUUUACAGGCCAUGUGUUCCCCAGGUAAGCGGCUGCCCGAGAAAGACCCCGUCGUACAGAUGCCAGUGAACCUGUACCCCCAGCCCUGGGAAGCUACAGAGCUUGGGGGAGCAGCUGCACGUGCUCAGUUCUGCUCUAGAAGGCAUGACACCUGGCAGCUGACCCUGCCCGUUACUGCCAGGGCCCGGACAAGAAAGGAAGAGGGAACAAACUGGCCUCCAGAUGGCCUGUUGGGGGCGGUGCUGCAGAUAAAGGAGCUGAUCCGCCGAGAGUGGAGGCCAGAGAGGAAGACAGAGAGACAAGUGCCCUGAGAGAGAGACUGGAGGACAUUCUGAAGGAGUCUCCUGGGCCGCGUGUAGCCGGACGAGGCAAAGCGUUUGUGGAGAGGAUGCUGAAGAACCUGCGGGGAAGGAGCACCAGAGAGACUCCAAGAGGAGGAGGGCCAACCGACCCUAGCCGCUAACCUCUUCUCAGAGUCAUCGUCCCGCCCCAUUUAUGCUUCACUUUGCACUUUCUGACUUGGAACAGGUUUUUUAGACAGAACGUACAGACACACACACGUAGGAAGAAAGGAUGUGG